rnacentral:rRNA from 1 species
CCUACGGGCGUCAGCAGUGAGGAAUAUUGGUCAAUGGGCGGAAGCCUGAACCAGCCAAGUAGCGUGAGGGAUUAAGGCCUGCGGGUCGUAAACCUCUUUUGCCGGGGAGCAGAGGUCCGGACGUGUCCGGGCCGGGAGAGUACCCGGCGAAAAAGCAUCGGCUAACUCCGUGCCAGCAGCCGCGGUAAUACGGGGGAUGCGAGCGUUAUCCGGAUUUAUUGGGUUCAAAGGGUGCGUGGGCGGGCAUUUAAGCCGGCGGUCAAAUGUCGGGGCUAAACCCCGGCCUGCCGUCGGAACUGGGAGCCUUGAGUGGGGUAGAGGUAGGCAGAAUGCGUGGUGUAGCGGUGAAAUGCAUAGAGAUCACGCAGAAGCCCGAUUGCGAAGGCAGCAUACCGGAGGCCGACUGACGCUGAGGCGCGAAAGUGCGGGUAUCGAACAGGAUUAGAUACCCUUGUAGUC